rnacentral:lncRNA from 1 species
UUUUGAGACAUUUAUUUACAGUUUCACCAAUGGCGUGCCGAAAGCAGUCUGGUAUUUCCAUAUUACUGCUUAUUUUCACUUUAUCUUCCAUAUUUGGCAGCAGAAUUCAAGCAGAGGCACGCCACCUCUUGGAGACAACCCUGCCUGAGGUUCGGAAGCUCGAAAUCCCAACCUUACCGAAGCCUGAGCUGCCAACUUUGCCAAAGCUUGAAAUUCCGACUUUACCAAAACCUGAGCUGCCGACAUUGCCUGAGCUGCCAACUUUGCCAAAACCUGAGCUGCCAACUUUGCCAAAGCCAGAAGUGCCUGAGCUACCUAAGUUCCCAGAACUGCCUGUUAUAUAUUUAUGGUAUAAAUAUAAAAUAUGAAAGAAAUAAUCAAAUUAGAUAAAGUGCCAAAGUGGUGGGAAAUGUGACAUUUGUGUGGGACGUCAGGGGUUCGAAUCACUCCCCACGCAAAUAUUAAAAUAUCUUGAUUUGGGCCUUGAGGCCUUGGGCUUCCUUGACUAAAAUAAAUAUUUUUUUCUUCAUUAUUUAAUGGGUAAAACUAGCCAAUAUUUUAUGACUGUUUGUUUUUGUAACAACCCACUAACUGUCAUUAAAACACCCACUACUCAGUCAUUAAAAUUCUGCAUUAACAUGGUGAAGACUGUUACUACCAUCUUGCCUAUAUAAACCCCUAUCUUGCUUUGGAAAAAGACACACAAAAAGAAAAUAGAAUCAAUCACUCUUUUCAUAUUGUGAAUUUCUUAUAUUCGGGUUUUUAUACCUAUUCUGGAGUACAAUUGAGAGUUCUAGAAAAACCAUUCGUGAUUGCUGCAUAAGUGGUUUACGAUCGUUGUAUCCUGGGAGUGAUUGUCCACGGAGGUCACAGCAAUUAUUGACGGGCAAUUUCGCUUUAGGACAUCGUGCUGUCACGAGACUCGAUCGGACGAUAAGUUUUAUAUUUCUGCAUUAUAUUGUACUGAUCACUGCUGCAACUAAUUAUUUUUCCAACACUGCCUAAACUAACAGUCCCGGAAGUGCCAAAAUCUCCUUGAACAUAUAGAUAUUUUAAAUGAACUGUGUUGAUCAUUUGGAAAAAUAGUAGAACUGUGAAAUGUGCCAAGUUUGUUAUCAAGUUCUUUCAGGAUGAUUAUUCAUCCAAUCCUAUAUGUUGUUGUUGGUCUUUUUUAUCAGUGUUUGAGUGUCCUAAAAUUUAUAAUUCUGUAUUCUACGACUCAUGUGGUGUAAAUUUCGAGAACGUUAUGUUUCGGAUUUGCCUUGAAAGUAUGUUAUAAAUAUUUGCAACGAUGUAAUAUUUUGAAUAAUGCCCAUUCUUUUAAUAUGUUACUUGAGAGUCAAA